CAGGCAGCAUCUUACCCAAGGCCUCAUCCCUUAAAACUUGAUUUCUGCAGAAACACAGCAGAUGUUCAUUCCACCUCUGUCACCUCACCCACUAAGAGUACCGGCUCCUUACAUACGGGUGCAGCUGUGUGGAGAGCACAUCCCACCUGCUGGAGUUCCUACGACUGUAACUGGAGUAGAAAAUGACCUUCUGGUGGGAUUUUACAGAAGUAAGAACCUCAGGCUAGCUGAAUGAAAUUCUCCUUAUAAAAAUACUUCAGUGCUAAUGACAAUAACAAUGAGGGAACCAGUGAUUUAAUACUGGAGGAUGCUGCUGAGGAAACAUUGACAUAAGGGCAGGGGCAGCAGGAUGCUGGAGUCUACUUUGCUGUUGGCUGGGGUGCAGGAGCUGGCAGAGGACUGGAGAUGGAUGGCACAGUGCAGAGGAACCCAGGCUGGCAUGUACACGUCAUGGGACAGCCAGCAGCCCAGACAAGGAUCAGCCUCAUUUGUCAACACAUCUACUGAGCUGGUGUGGUAUGUACCCUGCCUUCCUGGUCUAUGUCAUCAUAAAAUAUGCAACAGAUGUGUUCUCCUGCCUAACCCCCUAAAUGCUGCUUCCAACCUCUCUCCCUCAUCUCUUUUUCCAGGCUCCUGUCAGCAACCCCUUCCUGACCUCACAGACCUGCCACUUCUCAUGCGGGAGUCCUCACCGCUCCGGUGCCGGUGGCCAGCCCUGACCUCUGGCCGUCUUUCCACCUUAUUAACUUCCUUAGGGAAUUGGAGCGUGAGCUGA
rnacentral:lncRNA from 1 species